GCUAAUCGAACGUCUAAUUGGUUAGUUUGCGGCCACGUGCCCAAACCUUUCGUGUCAAGGUGUAUACCUUUAUACACUUAUGAUCGUAUUGACUAUAUUAAUUAGAAGUGGUGUACAGGUGAGUAAAUGAUAUUCUGGCUACCUAAGAGUUAAGGUAAACAAAUGCCUUAAAUUAUACAUUAUAGAGGGGUGGGAAGGUAUAAGAGAAAAAUAUUUUCGCUCUUAGAUGUAAAUUAAUAUCUCGGACAGGUAAUAUUUAAGGUAAUGGCUUAAAUAGCUUAUGUCCGUAGUCGAGACUGAGAGGUCGAUCGACCACAUUGGGUCUGAAAAAACCCCAAUGCGCAUCGUACAGCAGUGAGGAAUCUUGGUCAAUGGCCUAACGGCUGAACCAGCAACUUGGAGGAAUGUAUAUAUAUAUAUUAAUUACAAUGCAAUAUAUAUAAACCCGCACUUCGGUUAAAGUUCUGGAUAGAAUACUGAUAAUGACAUUUUUCUAUCUAUAUGUCUUGACCAAAUUUUGUGCCAGCAGUCGCGGCAACACAAAGGAGACAGCGUUAUUCAUCUUUAUUAGGUUUAAAGGGUACCUAGACGGCAUAUCAAGCCCCAAAAGGGAACGGAUAUACUAGAGUUUUAUGUGAGAGGCCUAUAGAACCAUUGGAGUAGAGAUAAAAUUUUAGGAUACCAUUGGGACUGGUAACGGCGAAGGCAAUCCUCUAUGUAAUAACUGACGUUGAGGGACGAAGGCUUGGGUAAUGAAUAGGAUUAGAUACCCUAGUAGUCCAAGCAGAUAAUUAUGAAUGUCAUAGAUUAGUUCGGGAUAGGUUUAGAAAAAUCUUGGUUUAAUCAUGCUCCAAGAUAUAAGUAAAUCCUUUAUAUCAUUGUUUAAUCUUUAUGCAAGAUAUAGGUAAAUCCCUUAUAUUGAUCUAUAAAUGAAAGUGUAAGCAUUCCACCUCAAGAGUAAGGCGGCAACGUUGGAACUGAAAUCAUUAGACCGUUUCUGAAACCAGUAGU
rnacentral:rRNA from 1 species